GUGCUCACUUCGGCAGCACAUAUAUUAAAAUUUUUAAAAGACAGAGAAGAUUAGCAUGGCCCCUGUGCAAGGAUGUCAUGCAAAUUCAUGAAGUGCUCUGUAUAAAA
ensembl:snRNA U6 U6 spliceosomal RNA